GGGGCUGAUUCUGGAUUCGACGGGAUUUGCGAAACCCAAGGUGCAUGCCGAGGGGCGGUUGGCCUCGUAAAAAGCCGCAAAAAAUAGUCGCAAACGACGAAAACUACGCUUUAGCAGCUUAAUAACCUGCUUAGAGCCCUCUCUCCCUAGCCUCCGCUCUUAGGACGGGGAUCAAGAGAGGUCAAACCCAAAAGAGAUCGCGUGGAAGUCCUGCCUGGGGUUGAAGCGUUAAAACUUAAUCAGGCUAGUUUGUUAGUGGCGUGUCCGUCCGCAGCUGGCAAGCGAAUGUAAAGACUGACUAAGCAUGUAGUACCGAGGAUGUAGGAAUUUCGGACGCGGGUUCAACUCCCGCCAGCUCCACCA
rnacentral:tmRNA from 4 species